GAAGAAUGGAGGAAGGACCUGCAGCAAAGGGUCAUGGGCUGGAUUCAAAUCCAUGGCAGCCUGUUGAGCUACCGGGGCGCCUGAAUUUCUUGCUUUUGACAAAAUCUGAUUUGAGCACACGGUGCGCCCAUCCUCACCUACAGCCACCACCGUCAGCUCCACCUCCUUCUCCACGGUGACGUGCUCAUUGGCCAGCGACAGGAAGAGCGUCCGGUGGAAGGUGCAGCGAUUUCACAGAAGAGCCCUCAGACCCUUGGAUGAACCCACAUGAAUGAAGUCUUCUUCGCCCAGCGGUCUGAAGUGCCAGUCGACGGUGGCUCGGCCUGAAACCUCCUCUCUCUUCUUACAGGAGAUGCAGCCCAGCAGGAAUCCUUCUCCGGCCACAGCUUCAGUCAGAGAGUCCACCUCUGCACAGCCGCCAUCACACUGACACACUGAGGGAGAAGAGAGGACCGAUAAACAACUAGAAGAUAAAAAAUAUAUAUGUCAGAGGCCAUGGUCCAGCCCAAGGCCAGGAGAGUUUCUCUGAAGGACGCCUAAACGGAGAUGAAGUGUUUUGACUGUUAGUGAAGGGUCGACUCAGGUGUAAUGUGUACAGGUGUCUGGUCCCUGGUUAAACUUUAUACAAACAACCAAACAGCAUCAGGGUUUCAGCAACAUAUCUCUCAUGUUCACAACAUGAGAUGGAGGUUGAUAAAAGUUGACCUCCCUUCAUUUCUCUGGAGCCAACUCCAUGGAUUUUAGAGAUGCUGGUUAAAGACCUGCUCUUCUAGUUGUCUUCCUUCUCGUCGCUCUUAAAAGUCACUCCAUCCUCGCAGACUUCAACACCUCUUUAUGACAAGUUCUUCUGCCUCCAACCUGGUGGAAACUCCGGAAACUCCGGAAACCCGUCGAGACUCGGAUUUUCAAAAACUCGUCGGGCGGGGGAAGGUGUGGUGGGUGGUGGGGGAGUAGAGGGGGGAGGCCGCCACCCACCUCCCCUCCCACUCUCCACCCUGACUCCACCCAUGUGGUCACUUGGAAACUACCAUGUCAAAGGGACGACGAAAUUAUGCUUUUUUUUUUUUUAAUCUGAUCUGUAGCUCAGUGAUUUAAGGGUUUGUCUAUGGAGCUGUAGGUUGCUGGUUCAAGACCUGAUCCUUCUUAAAUUUUUUGAAAAACUUAGACAAAGAAAGAAAAAUACCAUUGGUGGGUCUUGAACCUCCUACCUUCCACUUGGUAGUCUCUCUUCUUACCCCCUGAUCUACUCACUCAGAUAUUGAUUUUUCUUUUUUUUGCGGAUUUUUUAUCUAUUUUUUGUCGUUUGAGUUUUUUUAAUAUUCGAGUCUCGUGUCGUCCGUUUUUCUCAGGAGGUUGCACUUCAACCUUUGUGUUGGAGGGUUGAACCCUCAGUUCCAAGACUUUCCAAAGCCUCCAGACCUCAGGACCUGAGCUUUCACACAGUCUGAGGGCUGAAAUUUUCUAAGUCCCACAGUAGAUCUCUGUUAGAUUUAACUUUCAGACAGUCCAAGGACUGAAAUCUUCUACGAGUACUUGCCUGUUAGUUUGAACCUUUUGACAGUCUGAGGACUGAAGUUUAAAAACUUUCUCAGCACUCCUCUGUUAGUUUGAACUUUAUGGUUAACAGAAGCCUUAAAACUUGUGACUUGAUUCUUGAUUUCACAUUUAGACCAUCCAUCUGAGUUCUUCUCAGACCUCACCUGUGGGUUCUUUAGAAAUCCUGAACAAACUUUGAUUCUCUUCAUUGAACAGCAAAGUUUAUGGAGAUCAGAAGGUAACAUUAGUUUGAUCGAUGCAUUCAACUACUAGUAGACUUUAUCUGGAAAGCAGUUUUUCUGAAAUGAGCUCUUAGUAAAUCUGUCCACAAUCAAACCAAGCCUAUAGAAAGAGGAAAUGUUUGAAGAAACAAUUUGAUGUUUUCAUUUCAGACUCGAAAACACUUUAAGACCUUUAUCCGUUUUUACUCUUUUUGAUCAUUUUGUCUCUUCUGUUUAAUUUGAUCUUCUAAAGUGUAACUGGUGCCUUUUCAAAUGUUUUGUCUUCAGUUUGAUUCUUCUUAAAUGUUUACUUUUGCUCAUUUCUCACCUUUUAUUCUUUUCUAAUGUCUGAUUUGAUUUUGAAACAUUUUGUCUUUUUAAUGUUUAAUUGUUUUUUCAAAUGUUUUAUCGGCUUGUUUGAUAAAUUUCCUUUUCUUUCCCAAUGUUUAAUUUUUCAAUUAAAUCUUUAACAGUUUUCUUUUUAAAUG